GAGGAGGUUGUUGGGCAGCGUUAUUUGUUUGAUUAAAUUGGUUGUAAUGAACCCCCCUCUUCUCUGUGUGUUUCCUAACGGUUACCGUGCAAAGAUGAAGGUUGUUUCACCUCCUGACCCCAAUACCAGAGAGGAGUUCUUGAAAUAUUCCUGCCAGCUCACAUUGGACCCCAAAACAGCUAAUAGAUAUCUGCGUCUGUCUGAGGGGAACAGGAAGGUGACCAGGAGUGAAAAUGCUGAGUCCUAUCUUCACCAUCCAGACAGAUUUAACUUCUACUGCCAGCUGCUGUGUAAAGAAGCUUUGUCUGGAACCUGCUACUGGGAGGUAGAAAGGAGUGGGAGCAAGUGUAAAGUUGCCGUAUCUUAAAGGGGAUCUGCAGGAGAGGAGAUGGAGUGGAUGUUAGCUUUGGACGAAAUUAUCAGUCCUGGACUUUGGUCUGUGAUCCGUCUAUCUGCUAUUUCAGGCACAAUAAUAUCAAUACUGAUAUCCCUACCCCCUGCUCCUCCAGAGUAGGAGUGUACCUGGACCACAAGGCAGGAACUCUGUCCUUCUACAGUGUCUCUGACAAGAUGACCCUCCUCCACAGAGUCCAGACCACAUUCACUCAGCCCCUCUACCCUGGAUUCUGGGUUGGUCCUGGUUAUGGAUCAUCUGUGAAGAUACUGACACCAAUAUAGUAAAUUAACAAAGUUGUAUCUACACUCAUUGACUUUCAGUGUGUUCAUAAGCAUCGUAAAAUAUUUUUCAGCCUGACACAAUAACAUAAUACCUUUCUGAAAACAGUAAUACAAUCUACAAGUGAGUGCACUAUUCAGAGGAUGCAGUCCAUUUCAAUGAAAGGGAUUUACUCUGUUAGACAUCAGCUUUGCACAAGCUCCAUUGACAAUGAGCUGUUUGCAUUGUUUGUUGAAAUAAAUUCUGUGCAAUCUGAUGUAGCUCAUGGAAUGGAUGUUUCUUUUGUAGUAUAUGUUUUGUUGAGUUGAUGUUUAAAUGGCUUCCGGUCCACAGUUAUGGAGCUUUGACUUGAAGGGUCAUGGCUGUUCUAGUAAAUGUCAUUCAAUCUCAAACUUACAAUAAGAAAGUUCUCUCUCUCUAUCUAUGGUUGUGACAGACCACUUAUAGCCCCUCUGCUGGCCAGACCUGGUAUCUGAUACAUGAGUUCAGAUCCAGGAAGUGAAAUGUUAUAUGGGUUAGUGGGAGCCACUCCUAAGCCUACUCCUCAGCACAAUUGGAAACGAAACUCAUCUCUUCAGCUCAGUCUGCUUGCGUUUCAAAAUGGCAGAAGCCAUGGACUCAAUCAGUUGUUCAAUCUGUUUGGAGAUACUGAAGGAUCCAGUGACUAUUCCCUGUGGACACAGCUACUGUAUGGACUGUAUUAAAUGCUUCUGGGAUCAGAAGCUUGUCUGCAGCUGCCCCCAGUGCAGACAGAUCUUCCCUACAAGGCCUGUUCUGAACAAAAACACUGUCAUUGCAGAAUUGGUGGAAACACUGACAGAAAUAAAUACGAAGAAGAUUCACAAGGUGAGACUUGAGAUGAAGGUUGUUUCACCUCCUGACCCCAAUACCAGAGAGGAGUUCUUGAAAUAUUCCUGCCAGCUCACAUUGGACCCCAACACAGCUAAUAGAUAUCUGCGUCUGUCUGAGGGGAACAGGAAGGUGACCAGGAGUGAAAAUGCUGAGUCCUAUCUUCACCAUCCAGACAGAUUUAACUUCUACUGCCAGCUGCUGUGUAAAGAAGCUUUGUCUGGAACCUGCUACUGGGAGGUAGAAAGGAGUGGGAGCAAGUGUAAAGUUGCCGUGUCUUAUAAAGGGAUCUGCAGGAGAGGAGAUGGAGUGGAUGUUAGCUUUGGACGAAAUUAUCAGUCCUGGACUUUGGUCUGUGAUCCGUCUAUCUGCUAUUUCAGGCACAAUAAUAUCAAUACUGAUAUCCCUACCCCCUGCUCCUCCAGAGUAGGAGUGUACCUGGACCACAAGGCAGGAACUCUGUCCUUCUACAGUGUCUCUGACAAGAUGACCCUCCUCCACAGAGUCCAGACCACAUUCACUCAGCCCCUCUACCCUGGAUUCUGGGUUGGUCCUGGUUAUGGAUCAUCUGUGAAGAUACUGACACCAAUAUAGUAAAUUAACAAAGUUGUAUCUACACUCAUUGACUUUCAGUGUGUUCAUAAGCAUCGUAAAAUAUUUUUCAGCCUGACACAAUAACAUAAUACCUUUCUGAAAACAGUAAUACAAUCUACAAGUGAGUGCACUAUUCAGAGGAUGCAGUCCAUUUCAAUUAAAGGGAUUUACUCUGUUAGACAUCAGCUUUGCACAAGCUCCAUUGACAAUGAGCUGUUUGCAUUGUUUGCUGAAAUAAAUUCUGUGCAAUCUGAUGUAGCUCAUGGAAUGGAUGUUUCUUUUGUAGUAUAUGUUUUGUUGAUGUUUAAAUGGCUUCCGGUCCACAGUUAUGGAGCUUUGACUUGAAGGGUCAUGGCUGUUCUAGUAAAUGUCAGUCAAUCUCAAACUUACAAUAAGAAAGUUCUCUCUCUCUAUGGUUGUGACAGACCACUUAUAGCCCCUCUGCUGGCCAGACCUGGUAUCUGAUACGUGAGUUCAGAUCCAGGAAGUGAAAUGUUAUAUGGGUUAGUGGGAGCCACUCCUAAGCCUACUCCUCAGCACAAUUGGAAACGAAACUCAUCUCUUCAGCUCAGUCUGCUUGCGUUUCAAAAUGGCAGAAGCCAUGGACUCAAUCAGUUGUUCAAUCUGUUUGGAGAUACUGAAGGAUCCAGUGACUAUUCCCUGUGGACACAGCUACUGUAUGGACUGUAUUAAAUGCUUCUGGGAUCAGAAGCUUGUCUGCAGCUGCCCCCAGUGCAGACAGAUGUUCCCUACAAGGCCUGUUCUGAACAAAAACACUGUCAUUGCAGAACUGGUGGAAACACUGACAGAAAUAAAUACGAAGAAGAUUCACAAGGUGAGACUUGAGAUGAAGGUUGUUUCACCUCCUGACCCCAAUACCAGAGAGGAGUUCUUGAAAUAUUCCUGCCAGCUCACAUUGGACCCCAACACAGCUAAUAGAUAUCUGCGUCUGUCUGAGGGGAACAGGAAGGUGACCAGGAGUGAAAAUGCUGAGUCCUAUCUUCACCAUCCAGACAGAUUUAACUUCUACUGCCAGCUGCUGUGUAAAGAAGCUUUGUCUGGAACCUGCUACUGGGAGGUAGAAAGGAGUGGGAGCAAGUGUAAAGUUGCCGUGUCUUAUAAAGGGAUCUGCAGGAGAGGAGAUGGAGUGGAUGUUAGCUUUGGACGAAAUUAUCAGUCCUGGACUUUGGUCUGUGAUCCGUCUAUCUGCUAUUUCAGGCACAAUAAUAUCAAUACUGAUAUCCCUACCCCCUGCUCCUCCAGAGUAGGAGUGUACCUGGACCACAAGGCAGGAACUCUGUCCUUCUACAGUGUCUCUGACAAGAUGACCCUCCUCCACAGAGUCCAGACCACAUUCACUCAGCCCCUCUACCCUGGAUUCUGGGUUGGUCCUGGUUAUGGAUCAUCUGUGAAGAUACUGACACCAAUAUAGUAAAUUAACAAAGUUGUAUCUACACUCAUUGACUUUCAGUGUGUUCAUAAGCAUCGUAAAAUAUUUUUCAGCCUGACACAAUAACAUAAUACCUUUAUGAAAACAGUAAUACAAUCUACAAGUGAGUGCACUAUUCAGAGGAUGCAGUCCAUUUCAAUGAAAGGGAUUUACUCUGUUAGACAUCAGCUUUGCACAAGCUCCAUUGACAAUGAGCUGUUUGCAUUGUUUGGAAAGAAACACAUAUAUUUAUCUACACUUAUUGACUUUCACUGUGUACAUAUACAUCAUGCAAUCUGUUUCAACCUGACAGACUUAACAUUAUUUUAUGAUACAAACUACUGGUGAAUGCCCAACAUGUGCACUACUGCUAGAAUAUGAACUGUCCACAGUCUUUGUCACUGAAAGGGAUUGAUUCUAAUGCUAGGCAUCAGUGUACACAAAUUACUAUACCCUGUUCAAAGGCACUUAAAUAUUGCCCAUUCACCCUCUGAAUGGCACACAUACCCAAUCCAUGUCUCAAGGCUUAAACAUCCUUAUUUAAUCUGUCUCCACCCCUUCAUCUACACUGAUUGAAGUGGAUUUGACAAGUGACACCAAAAAGGGAUCAUUGCUUUCACCUGGAUUCACCUGGUCUAUGCCAUGGAUAAAGCACUUGCGUUUCAAAAUGGCAGAAGCCAUGGACUUGAUCAGUUGUUCAAUAUGUUAGGAGAUACUGAAGGAUCCUGUGACUAUUCCUUCUGGACACAGCUACUGUAUGGACUGUAUUGAAGGCUACUGGGAUCUGGAUGUCCAGAAGCUUGUGUGCAGCUAGCCCUUGAUCAUGACUCUCUGUUGCAUUACAUUACACAUAAAAGUCAUUGGACGGUGCCGUUUUCUGUAAGGGGGAAAAUAUAUUAAGAGCCAUGACGCUCUUUCCGAACAAUAUCAUGCAUCACUUGCGGUACAGUUUUGGAAGCAUAAGGACCUUGUAUUUCACAUCGGCAAGAAAUUAUUUUUUAAAAAACAAAAGGUUAAAUUGAUGCACAAUUUUAUAGGGUUACGAUUCCCACACGGACAACAGACGGAAGACCAACUGGACUACCUGUGCUAAUUAGCUAUAUGCGUCUUUCGAACACCUGUGUAUAAAUGGAAGACGGAGGCCACAAACGUGUUGUCCCAGUCAGCUACAACUGUGUUAAAACCGAUUAAAACAGUAUACAGUGAGUGUGUAUUUUGCAUUUGUGAAUAUAUUUUGUUGUGAUAUGAAAGUGGAUGGAUUUAUGUUUCUAGAACCGUACCACAAUUGAAAAUUCACUUUUAGAUGGCUGUUGAGAUCAACCAGCUGGCAGCAAACACAACUGUCACGACUCCCACCGAAGGUGGCUCCUCUUCCUGUUCGGGCUGCGCUCGGCGGUCGUCGUCACCGGUCUACUAGCUGCCACCGAUCCCUUUUCCCUUUUCUGUUGGUUUUGUCUUAUUGGUUACACCUGUUUCUUGUUUAGGUUUUUAGUUGGGCUAUUUAAGCCGGUAAGGCCCGCCUGUUCUUUGUGCGGGCUUAAUUUUCCUCUGUGUAUGUUUGUGGUGGUGCGUUUCCCUUUGUUUUUCCAAUGGACGGGUUGGGGCCUGGUUUUGGGCCAGUCUCGUAUGUGCACCCAGUAUUGGCGUGACCAUUUUUCUCUGUUACGGAAUAAAACAUUGUUCUUUA